AACGUAGGUGGCAAGCGUUAUCCGGAUUUACUGGGCGUAAAGCGUGUGCAGGCGGUCAUGUAAGUGGUGUAUGAAAUCUCCGCGCUUAACGUGGAGGGGUUAUGCCAGACUGCAUGACUAGAACCCAUCAGAGGGAAGUGGAAUUCCGGGUGUAGUGGUGAAAUGCUUAGAUAUGACAUAGAACACCAAUUGCGAAGGCAGCUAGCUACAGGGAUAUUGACACUGAGGCACGAAAGCGUGGGGAUCAAACAGG
rnacentral:rRNA from 1 species